rnacentral:rRNA from 1 species
UGGAUUGCACGUCUAAGCAGUAAGGCUGAGUAUUAGGCAAAUCCGGUACUCAUUAAGGCUGAGCUGUGAUGGGGAGAAGACAUUGUGUCUUCGAGUCGUUGAUUUCACACUGCCGAGAAAAGCCUCUAGAUAGAAAAUAGGUGCCCGUACCGCAAACCGACACAGGUAGUCAAGAUGAGAAUUCUAAGGUGAGCGAGCGAACUCUCGUUAAGGAACUCGGCAAAAUGACCCCGUAACUUCGGGAGAAGGGGUGCUCUUUAGGGUUAACGCCCAGAAGAGCCGCAGUGAAUAGGCCCAAGCGACUGUUUAUCAAAAACACAGGUCUCUGCUAAACCGUAAGGUGAUGUAUAGGGGCUGACGCCUGCCCGGUGCUGGAAGGUUAAGAGGAGUGGUUAGCUUCUGCGAAGCUACGAAUCGAAGCCCCAGUAAACGGCGGCCGUAACUAUAACGGUCCUAAGGUAGCGAAAUUCCUUGUCGGGUAAGUUCCGACCCGCACGAAAGGCGUAACGAUUUGGGCACUGUCUCAACGAGAGACUCGGUGAAAUCAUAGUACCUGUGAAGAUGCAGGUUACCCGCGACAGGACGGAAAGACCCCGUGGAGCUUUACUGUAGCCUGAUAUUGAAAUUCGGCACAGCUUGUACAGGAUAGGUAGGAGCCUUUGAAACGUGAGCGCUAGCUUACGUGGAGGCGCUGGUGGGAUACUACCCUAGCUGUGUUGGCUUUCUAACCCGCACCACUUAUCGUGGUGGGAGACAGUGUCAGGCGGGCAGUUUGACUGGGGCGGUCGCCUCCUAAAAGGUAACGGAGGCGCUCAAAGGUUCCCUCAGAAUGGUUGGAAAUCAUUCAUAGAGUGUAAAGGCAUAAGGGAGCUUGACUGCGAGACCUACAAGUCGAGCAGGGUCGAAAGACGGACUUAGUGAUCCGGUGGUUCCGCAUGGAAGGGCCAUCGCUCAACGGAUAAAAGCUACCCCGGGGAUAACAGGCUUAUCUCCCCCAAGAGUUCACAUCGACGGGGAGGUUUGGCACCUCGAUGUCGGCUCAUCGCAUCCUGGGGCUGUAGUCGGUCCCAAGGGUUGGGCUGUUCGCCCAUUAAAGCGGUACGCGAGCUGGGUUCAGAACGUCGUGAGACAGUUCGGUCCCUAUCCGUCGUGGGCGUAGGAAAUUUGAGAGGAGCUGUCCUUAGUACGAGAGGACCGGGAUGGACAUACCUCUGGUGUACCAGUUGUCGUGCCAACGGCAUAGCUGGGUAGCUAUGUGUGGACGGGAUAAGUGCUGAAAGCAUCUAAGCAUGAAGCCCCCCUCAAGAUGAGAUUUCCCAACUUCGGUUAUAAGAUCCCUCAAAGAUGAUGAGGUUAAUAGGUUCGAGGUGGAAGCAUGGUGACAUGUGGAGCUGACGAAUACUAAUCGAUCGAAGACUUAAUC